rnacentral:lncRNA from 1 species
UGUCUGGGAGCCCACAGAGUGCUUGUCCAGGGCGGAGAGGAUUCCAGAGUCCCAGAAACACAGCGUCGCAGGGCCACAAACUAGGCUGCAAAAGACCUCUGAGAACCUCGACUAUGACCAAAUACCACUGUGCCAACAAGACCAUGGCCCUCGGUGCCAUGUCUAGUCUUCCUUAAGCACCUCCAGGGACUGUGACUCCACCACCUCCCUGGGCAGCCCCUUCCAGUAACCAGUCACUCUCUGAAUGAAGAAAUUCUUCCUAAUAUCUAACCUAAAAAUCUCUUGAUGCACUUUAAGACUGUGUCCCCUGGUACUUGCAUUUUAUCUGGUUUUUAUUACUCAAAAUGCUGACUCCUGCUUUGUUCAUUCAUGGAAAUAGGAUGUAAAGUCAACCCAAGGCCAGCUAAUAACCUGUUGCUCUCACUUGAUCCUGAGCUUUUCAUCUCUUUCUGGUUUGCCAGUGCUUUCACUCGUCUUACAGGUUUUGAAUUAAAUUCUAGCUUCUGUAGUUAAUAGAAUAAUUUCCAUUGAAGAUGGAAUCAAUCAAUUAAAUUACAGAUAAAUGAGGUGUACCCCAUUUAUUAGGUUUCUUCUUGGACUAAGCAAACUUCUUUUUCCAUGCUAUUGUUAUCUGCAGGUGAUUUGGAGUACUUGGAGGAUUUCCUGUCAACCUAGCCAAGAAGUUUUCUCAAAGGAGGAUGUUGUUAAACGUUAAGGAAGCAAGACUGAGCCUAUUCAGCCCUGGAAGUAUUUCCAUUUUUGCUUUGAUAUCCCCAUUUUCUUGACUGAAUGCCUGAGAACAUAACUGUACACAUACCGUUGUUUCUGGAUGCUGAUGAUCUUCAACAGCUGUCAAAACUAUGCAAGAACUUCCAGCAGGUAAUGUCAUAUAUUGGUGCCCAUAUUCAAGUUCAUUGUUAAGAAAGAAGGUGAGGUAGAACUUCCCUUCAGGUUGAUCCAGCAGAACCAUCUGCAGUUCUGCAUAGCCAGAUAUAGGGAGCAGCACCACACACACAUACCUGGCCACAGAUCAGUAGUUACAGACCAAGCCCUCCAUGCUGUGGACAAUCUAAAGCCAAACCCCCUGUCUUGCCAGCUGGAGCCUUCCACAAUUACUUUUCAGUCUGUUCACAAGAGUUGGCAACUGAGAUCCUGGAGGAAGAAAAAAC